rnacentral:rRNA from 1 species
GAUGAACGCUGGCGGCGUGCCUAAUACAUGCAGGUCGAGCGAACAGACGAGGAGCUUGCUCCUCUGACGUUAGCGGCGGACGGGUGAGUAACACGUGGAUAACCUACCUAUAAGACUGAGAUAACUUCGGGAAACCGGAGCUAAUACCGGAUAAUAUAUUGAACCGCAUGGUUCAAUAGUGAAAGACGGUUUUGCUGUCACUUAUAGAUGGAUCCGCGCCGCAUUAGCUAGUUGGUAAGGUAACGGCUUACCAAGGCGACGAUGCGUAGCCGACCUGAGAGGGUGAUCGGCCACACUGGAACUGAGACACGGUCCAGACUCCUACGGGAGGCAGCAGUAGGGAAUCUUCCGCAAUGGGCGAAAGCCUGACGGAGCAACGCCGCGUGAGUGAUGAAGGUCUUCGGAUCGUAAAACUCUGUUAUUAGGGAAGAACAAAUGUGUAAGUAACUAUGCACGUCUUGACGGUACCUAAUCAGAAAGCCACGGCUAACUACGUG